rnacentral:rRNA from 1 species
GGGCCCGCACAAGCGGUGGAGCAUGUGGUUUAAUUCGAAGCAACGCGAAGAACCUUACCAGGUCUUGACAUCCUUUGACCACUCUAGAGAUAGAGCUUUCCCUUCGGGGACAAAAGUGACAGGUGGUGCAUGGUUGUCGUCAGCUCGUGUCGUGAGAUGUUGGGUUAAGUCCCGCAACGAGCGCAACCCUUAUGUUAGUUGCCAUCAUUUAGUUGGGCACUCUUAGCGAGACUGCCGGUCGAACGAAACCGGAGGAAGGUGGGG